CCUACGGGGGGCAGCAGUGGGGAAUAUUGGACAAUGGGGGGAACCCUGAUCCAGCCAUGCCGCGUGUGUGAAGAAGGCCCUCGGGUUGUAAAGCACUUUCAGUGAGGAAGAACGCCUGGUGGUUAAUACCCAUCAGGAAAGACAUCACUCACAGAAGAAGCACCGGCUAACUCCGUGCCAGCAGCCGCGGUAAUACGGAGGGUGCGAGCGUUAAUCGGAAUUACUGGGCGUAAAGUGCGCGUAGGUGGCUUGAUAAGCCGGUUGUGAAAGCCCCGGCUCAACCUGGGAACGGCAUCCGGAACUGUCAAGCUAGAGUGCAGGAGAGGAAGGUAGAAUUCCCGGUGUAGCGGUGAAAUGCGUAGAGAUCGGGAGGAAUACCAGUGGCGAAGGCGGCCUUCUGGACUGACACUGACACUGAGGUGCGAAAGCGUGGGUAGCAAACAGGAUUAGAUACCCGUGUAGUC
rnacentral:rRNA from 1 species